rnacentral:rRNA from 1 species
CGAUGGGAGCUUGCUCCCAGGCGUCGAGCGGCGGACGGGUGAGUAACGCGUGGGAAUCUAUCCAGUAGCGGGGGAUAGCCCGGGGAAACCCGGAUUAAUACCGCAUACGCCCUACGGGGGAAAGCAGGGGAUCUUCGGACCUUGCACUAUUGGGUGAGCCCGCGUCGGAUUAGCUAGUUGGUGGGGUAAAGGCCUACCAAGGCGACGAUCCGUAGCUGGUCUGAGAGGAUGAUCAGCCACACUGGGACUGAGACACGGCCCAGACUCCUACGGGAGGCAGCAGUGGGGAAUAUUGCGCAAUGGGGGCAACCCUGACGCAGCCAUGCCGCGUGUGUGAAGAAGGCCUUAGGGUUGUAAAGCACUUUCAGUAAGGAGGAAAGGUUGUUGGUUAAUAACUAACAACUGUGACGUUACUUACAGAAGAAGCACCGGCUAACUCCGUGCCAGCAGCCGCGGUAAUACGGAGGGUGCGAGCGUUAAUCGGAAUGACUGGGCGUAAAGCGCGCGUAGGUGGUUUGUUAAGUUGGAUGUGAAAGCCCAGGGCUUAACCUUGGAACUGCAUUCAAAACUGGCAGACUAGAGUACGGUAGAGGGGGGUAGAAUUUCAGGUGUAGCGGUGAAAUGCGUAGAGAUCUGAAGGAAUACCAGUGGCGAAGGCGGCCCCCUGGACUGAUACUGACACUGAAGUGCGAAAGCGUGGGGAGCGAACAGGAUUAGAUACCCUGGUAGUCCACGCCGUAAACGAUGUCAACUAGCCGUUGGGAAGCUUGACUUCUUAGUGGCGCAGCUAACGCAAUAAGUUGACCGCCUGGGGAGUACGGCCGCAAGGUUAAAACUCAAAUGAAUUGACGGGGGCCCGCACAAGCGGUGGAGCAUGUGGUUUAAUUCGAUGCAACGCGAAGAACCUUACCAGGUCUUGACAUCCCGAGAAGUUACCAGAGAUGGUUUCGUGCCUUCGGGAACUCGGUGACAGGUGCUGCAUGGCUGUCGUCAGCUCGUGUCGUGAGAUGUUGGGUUAAGUCCCGUAACGAGCGCAACCCUUGUCCUUAGUUGCCAGCACGUAAUGGUGGGAACUCUAAGGAGACUGCCGGUGACAACCGGAGGAAGGUGGGGAAGACGUCAAGUCAUCAUGGCCCUUACGACCGGGGCUACACACGUGCUACAAUGGUCGGUACAGAGGGUUGCCAAGCCGCGAGGUGGAGCCAAUCCCAGAAAACCGAUCGUA